CUUUAUUGGAGGCAGUAGUUUUAAAAUUCCUCUAAAUUUACAAGCGGGGGAGACGUUAUUAGGAUUGAUUCUAUCUGUUGUUUUAGAACCACCGAAUAAUUCUAAUUUUGAUAAUUAUUAUGUUAUCAUCAACGGAACAGAAGGCUCUACACACAAUGGAUGGCCUUAUGCUAACUUGGAGGCAGCUCAUGUGGGGCUCAAGUUAGUGGAUUUAGAAAAGAAGCAGGGGGAUAUUUGCAAUGUUGAAUUUCUUUUCUACAAGGGCGCACGCAUUAGAAGUUGCGGGGUGCACCCACUAUUGCGCAAACAAGACGAAUGGCUUCCCAUGUCUUUGGGACCAACAAGUAGUCUUGGGAAGAGGCCUCGUCCACUUGGAUCCUCAGAUACCGUCCACGAGGAAUAUGAUCGGCAACGACAAUGGCUUUCCUUAUCUUCGAACCCGGCGGAUGAUCAUCCGAAACGCAGGCAGAUUGAUCGUAAUGUUCCUUUCGAUAUUGAGGAGGAGCAAGAGCAGCCAUCCACUUCAGAUGAUUCACAAUCCACUUCAGAUGAUUCACAAUUUUUUCUUCAUUAGGAGUUUGGGUAC
rnacentral:lncRNA from 1 species